UACAAAAUUAACCUAUUUUUAUCACUAGGGGUAAAAUUGUCCUUUUACAAAUUAUGGUUAAUAUUGAAUUAUUUCCAUUUCAUGUAAAUCCUAAUUAAAAACAAUUAAAUCUAAAACUAAAGUUAAUAUCUCUAAAAAUAUUUUUGAUAUAUUAUAAUCCUAAAAUUAUUUACUUCUAAUAAUAUCCUAUUAAAAUCUAUACCUAAUUAAAAUUCUAAAAAGGCUAAUUAUCUUUAUUAUUCCUAAUGUUUUUAAUAACAUUUCUAAUGAUAUUUACCUAAUUAACUCUAAAAUUCUGGAAUUAAGCUAUUUAUCUCAACUACUAAAACUCACAUGUUCUAACUAUUCCAAUUAAGAAAUAAAACAGAAGAAUGGAACCGGGCCUGUGUGAAUGGUUAGAGCAAGGGCAAGUCGAUAGGGUGCAUUGGCCAUGGGAGGUGUGUGAAUAGCAUUUUAGUGGGCCUAAAGGGGAUUUUGUCCAAAUCGAGCCAUGACCCAAUGACUAAGCGCUCAUAACACUGGCCGAAAGCGCUUACGUAGAUAAGUCGCUUAUGUGGAUAGGCCACGAAACCAAAUCACGGUGAAAAGCGCUUAUCAGAAAAAGCCGAAGUGAACAUCACGAUUCUCAUCGCCGUUCACGCACCCGUGUUCAUGGAUUCGCGUUCUUGGCUGGCAUUCGACAUCAUACAUGGAAGUUCUUCAGAGAUUCAAGUCAUCAGCUCAAAUAUCAUGUAAUCAACAAAAGAAAAUUCUCACCUCGAGUUGAUGCGCGAUGGGUCAAGGCGGAACGCACGCGAUGCUUCUUCGCGAUGUGAGGUUAUCUAUUCCGAGAUUCAAACGAGUUGCUCCUCCACAGACAAAAAAGAAUCGGAGAGAAGAGAAUUGAUUACCGGCUUGCUAUGAUACGACGGUUCGAGCGAUGAUCCUUCGACCUCCGGCGACACCGUUGACGUCCGUUGUCGAUACGUUUUCUUCACGGUGAAUUUUCGUUCUGUACCUUGAUUGAGGGAAACUGGAGAAUUAAGGUCGAAUGUUGAUUGGUGACAGAUGGAGAAAACGAGUCCGCGAUGAUGGACCGAAAAAUCCGUUGCAAGUGCGGAACGUGAAAUCUGGUAUGGCCAAGCCUCGAUGCGAUCUUCAGGAACUUUUUUUAUGCAGGUUAUUGGUAGCUUUUGUUUGCAGCUGGCUGUAUCUCGCUUGCAUUUUGCAGCGUUUGGAUGGAGUUGUGGCUUAAUGGUGCGGCUUGGCUUCGCAGCUUGGAGUUCUGUUUUGGCGGUCGAAGCGUUAUGUUGCAAUUAACAACCAUUGUUGUAGUUAGCUGCGCUUGCUGAAGCAGCUUCUUGGAAGUGGCUUUGAGUUGGAUUUUUCAUGUUGACAUUGUUUAUCAUUUUGUAUCAUGGCCCACACUUUUCCACACCCACCUUUUGUGCCACUACUUCACCUGCAAGUAGCUUCUUCAAUUUCCUUUCAUUGGCUUAUAGAUUUGGAUAAGUGGAUAUGUAUUGGAUUAAUGAAAGUAGAUAUGGUUUUAAUGAAAAUGGAUAAUGGUUUUGGGUAAA